UACGUAGGGGGCAAGCGUUGUCCGGAGUUACUGGGCGUAAAGCGCACGCAGGCGGUCUGUUAAGUUUGGAGUGACAGUUGGUGGCUUAACUGCCAAAGUGCUUCGAAAACUGAUCGACUUGAGGGCUUCAGAGGGACACGGAAUUCCGGGUGGAGUGGUGAAAUGCGUAGAGAUCCGGAGGAACACCGAAGGCGAAGGCAGUGUCCUGGGGAGUACCUGACGCCCAGGUGCGAAAGCCAGGGGAGCGAACGGG
rnacentral:rRNA from 1 species